CAGCCGCCGCGGUAAUACAGAGGGUGCGAGCGUUAAUCGGAUUUACUGGGCGUAAAGCGUGCGUAGGCGGCUUCUUAAGUUGGAUGUGAAAUCCCUGAGCUUAACUUAGGAAUUGCAUUCGAUACUGGGAAGCUAGAGUAUGGGAGAGGAUGGUAGAAUUCCAGGUGUAGCGGUGAAAUGCGUAGAGAUCUGGAGGAAUACCGAUGGCGAAGGCAGCCAUCUGGCCUAAUACUGACGCUGAGGUACGAAAGCAUGGGGAGCAAACAGGAUUAGAUACCCGAGUAGUCCCUGUCUCUUAUAC
rnacentral:rRNA from 1 species